rnacentral:rRNA from 1 species
CCUACGGGAGGCAGCAGUGAGGAAUAUUGGUCAAUGGGCGUAAGCCUGAACCAGCCAAGUCGCGUGCGGGAUGAAGGUCCUAUGGAUUGUAAACCUCUUUUAUAAGGGAAUAAAGUGUGGGACGUGUCCUGUUUUGUAUGUACCUUAUGAAUAAGGAUCGGCUAAUUCCGUGCCAGCAGCCGCGGUAAUACGGAGGGUCCGAGCGUUAUCCGGAUUUAUUGGGUUUAAAGGGUGCGUAGGCGGCCUGUUAAGUCAGCGGUGAAAGGCUGUGGCUCAACCAUGGCAUUGCCGUUGAAACUGGGAGGCUUGAGUAUGUGUGAGGCAGGCGGAAUGCGUGGUGUAGCGGUGAAAUGCUUAGAUAUCACGAAGAACCCCGAUUGCGAAGGCAGCCUGC